CAUGCAAGUCGAGCGGAAAGGCCCCUUCGGGGGUACUCGAGCGGCGAACGGGUGAGUAACACGUGAGCAACCUGCCCCUGACUUCGGGAUAAGCCCGGGAAACUGGGUCUAAUACCGGAUAUGACCAUUGCCCGCAUGGGUUGGUGGUGGAAAGUUUUUUCGGUUGGGGAUGGGCUCGCGGCCUAUCAGCUUGUUGGUGGGGUGAUGGCCUACCAAGGCGACGACGGGUAACCGGCCUGAGAGGGCGACCGGUCACACUGGGACUGAGACACGGCCCAGACUCCUACGGGAGGCAGCAGUGGGGAAUAUUGCGCAAUGGGCGGAAGCCUGACGCAGCGACGCCGCGUGGGGGAUGACGGCCUUCGGGUUGUAAACCUCUUUCAGCAUCGACGAAGCCUUCGGGUGACGGUAGGUGCAGAAGAAGCGCCGGCUAACUACGUGCCAGCAGCCGCGGUAAU
rnacentral:rRNA from 1 species